AGCUUUUACCAGGUAUCAGCAACUUCCUUUCAUUAGGGGAAGAAGUGAGGGAAGUACCAAACAGCAGCAAGCUUUUAAACUUUAAAUAGACAGUUCUGAGUGAUUGAACUUACUUUUUCAUUUUACUUCAUCCUCUAAGGAGUGCAAUCACUUGGCGUGCCUACUUCACUUCUUUUAAGCGAAGAACUGCGUCCAGGCAAC
rnacentral:other from 1 species